UUUACCCAACAGGUGGGUUAAACAUAUUGGGUUGUUGGGUUGGGUUAUUCGUAGGUUUUAUUGGGUUAUUUCUAUAACAACCCAGACAGAUGGGUUAAAAUCGGGCUCACGUCACGCAUUUUGAAUUUCAAUGGUCGACAGGUGCCACUGCUGAGUGCGGACAGACACGAGAGACAUUCUUGGAGAUGUUGCAUUAAAAACCCUACAAAAUGGCCAGCAAGAUGGUUCAGCCUUCCUACAGUACCAAGAGCCAAAGCAAACAUUUAUUAAUUUUCAACCUGUCAGAAAACAAACAUAAUUCAGUAUUUGGAGGAGGAGGUAUGACGAAGACCCCAUGUCCUGCUAUGGGAUGAAUUUGACUAAUCACAAGUCUUUGUUAUUGUGGGGAGGUAUGGCCCAGGAGCAAGACCAGCAGUUGACACAUGCUUUAAUAUUCCCAAGCCUUUCACUACUGUUAGGUAGUUUCUGUAACACACAAUACAUUUUGU